rnacentral:rRNA from 1 species
UACGGGGGGGGCAAGCGUUGUUCGGAAUUACUGGGCGUAAAGGGCUCGUAGGGGGCCAACUAAGUCAGACGUGAAAUCCCCAGGCUUAACCUGGGAACUGCGUCUGAUACUGGAUGGCUUGAAUUCGGGAGAGGGAUGCAGAAUUCCAGGUGUAGCGGUGAAAUGCGUAGAUAUCUGGAGGAAUACCGGUGGCGAAGGCGGCAUCCUGGACCGAGAUUGACACUGAUGAGCGAAAGCCAGGGGAGCAAACGGG